rnacentral:rRNA from 1 species
GGGUUGUGAGGUUAAGCGACUAAGCGUACACGGUGGAUGCCCUGGCAGUCAGAGGCGAUGAAGGACGUGCUAAUCUGCGAUAAGCGUCGGUAAGGUGAUAUGAACCGUUAUAACCGGCGAUUUCCGAAUGGGGAAACCCAGUGUGAUUCGUCACACUAUCAUUAACUGAAUCCAUAGGUUAAUGAGGCGAACCGGGGGAACUGAAACAUCUAAGUACCCCGAGGAAAAGAAAUCAACCGAGAUUCCCCCAGUAGCGGCGAGCGAACGGGGAGCAGCCCAGAGCCUGAAUCAGUNNNNNNNNNNNNNNNNNNNNNNNNNNNNNNNNNNNNNNNNNNNNNNNNNNUGUGAGCUCGAUGAGUAGGGCGGGACACGUGGUAUCCUGUCUGAAUAUGGGGGGACCAUCCUCCAAGGCUAAAUACUCCUGACUGACCGAUAGUGAACCAGUACCGUGAGGGAAAGGCGAAAAGAACCCCGGCGAGGGGAGUGAAAAAGAACCUGAAACCGUGUACGUACAAGCAGUGGGAGCACGCUUAGGCGUGUGACUGCGUACCUUUUGUAUAAUGGGUCAGCGACUUAUAUUCUGUAGCAAGGUUAACCGAAUAGGGGAGCCGAAGGGAAACCGAGUCUUAACUGGGCGUUAAGUUGCAGGGUAUAGACCCGAAACCCGGUGAUCUAGCCAUGGGCAGGUUGAAGGUUGGGUAACACUAACUGGAGGACCGAACCGACUAAUGUUGAAAAAUUAGCGGAUGACUUGUGGCUGGGGGUGAAAGGCCAAUCAAACCGGGAGAUAGCUGGUUCUCCCCGAAAGCUAUUUAGGUAGCGCCUCGUGAAUUCAUCUCCGGGGGUAGAGCACUGUUUCGGCAAGGGGGUCAUCCCGACUUACCAACCCGAUGCAAACUGCGAAUACCGGAGAAUGUUAUCACGGGAGACACACGGCGGGUGCUAACGUCCGUCGUGAAGAGGGAAACAACCCAGACCGCCAGCUAAGGUCCCAAAGUCAUGGUUAAGUGGGAAACGAUGUGGGAAGGCCCAGACAGCCAGGAUGUUGGCUUAGAAGCAGCCAUCAUUUAAAGAAAGCGUAAUAGCUCACUGGUCGAGUCGGCCUGCGCGGAAGAUGUAACGGGGCUAAACCAUGCACCGAAGCUGCGGCAGCGACGCUGAUGCGUUGUUGGGUAGGGGAGCGUUCUGUAAGCCUGCGAAGGUGUGCUGUGAGGCAUGCUGGAGGUAUCAGAAGUGCGAAUGCUGACAUAAGUAACGAUAAAGCGGGUGAAAAGCCCGCUCGCCGGAAGACCAAGGGUUCCUGUCCAACGUUAAUCGGGGCAGGGUGAGUCGACCCCUAAGGCGAGGCCGAAAGGCGUAGUCGAUGGGAAACAGGUUAAUAUUCCUGUACUUGGUGUUACUGCGAAGGGGGGACGGAGAAGGCUAUGUUGGCCGGGCGACGGUUGUCCCGGUUUAAGCGUGUAGGCUGGUUUUCCAGGCAAAUCCGGAAAAUCAAGGCUGAGGCGUGAUGACGAGGCACUACGGUGCUGAAGCAACAAAUGCCCUGCUUCCAGGAAAAGCCUCUAAGCAUCAGGUAACAUCAAAUCGUACCCCAAACCGACACAGGUGGUCAGGUAGAGAAUACCAAGGCGCUUGAGAGAACUCGGGUGAAGGAACUAGGCAAAAUGGUGCCGUAACUUCGGGAGAAGGCACGCUGAUAUGUAGGUGAAGUCCCUCGCGGAUGGAGCUGAAAUCAGUCGAAGAUACCAGCUGGCUGCAACUGUUUAUUAAAAACACAGCACUGUGCAAACACGAAAGUGGACGUAUACGGUGUGACGCCUGCCCGGUGCCGGAAGGUUAAUUGAUGGGGUCAGCGCAAGCGAAGCUCUUGAUCGAAGCCCCGGUAAACGGCGGCCGUAACUAUAACGGUCCUAAGGUAGCGAAAUUCCUUGUCGGGUAAGUUCCGACCUGCACGAAUGGCGUAAUGAUGGCCAGGCUGUCUCCACCCGAGACUCAGUGAAAUUGAACUCGCUGUGAAGAUGCAGUGUACCCGCGGCAAGACGGAAAGACCCCGUGAACCUUUACUAUAGCUUGACACUGAACAUUGAGCCUUGAUGUGUAGGAUAGGUGGGAGGCUUUGAAGUGUGGACGCCAGUCUGCAUGGAGCCGACCUUGAAAUACCACCCUUUAAUGUUNNNNNNNNNNNNNNNNNNNNNNNNNNNNNNNNNNNNNNNNNNNNNNNNNNAUCCGGGUUGCGGACAGUGUCUGGUGGGUAGUUUGACUGGGGCGGUCUCCUCCUAAAGAGUAACGGAGGAGCACGAAGGUUGGCUAAUCCUGGUCGGACAUCAGGAGGUUAGUGCAAUGGCAUAAGCCAGCUUGACUGCGAGCGUGACGGCGCGAGCAGGUGCGAAAGCAGGUCAUAGUGAUCCGGUGGUUCUGAAUGGAAGGGCCAUCGCUCAACGGAUAAAAGGUACUCCGGGGAUAACAGGCUGAUACCGCCCAAGAGUUCAUAUCGACGGCGGUGUUUGGCACCUCGAUGUCGGCUCAUCACAUCCUGGGGCUGAAGUAGGUCCCAAGGGUAUGGCUGUUCGCCAUUUAAAGUGGUACGCGAGCUGGGUUUAGAACGUCGUGAGACAGUUCGGUCCCUAUCUGCCGUGGGCGCUGGAGAACUGAGGGGGGCUGCUCCUAGUACGAGAGGACCGGAGUGGACGCAUCACUGGUGUUCGGGUUGUCAUGCCAAUGGCACUGCCCGGUAGCUAAAUGCGGAAGAGAUAAGUGCUGAAAGCAUCUAAGCACGAAACUUGCCCCGAGAUGAGUUCUCCCUGACUCCUUGAGAGUCCUGAAGGAACGUUGAAGACGACGACGUUGAUAGGCCGGGUGUGUAAGCGCAGCGAUGCGUUGAGCUAACCGGUACUAAUGAACCGUGAGGCUUAACCUUACAACGCCGAAG